rnacentral:tRNA from 1 species
UGGGAUAUAGCUCAGUGGCAUAGCACCUGCCUGGUAAGCAAGAGGUCAUGAGUUCAAUUCCCAGCACCCCCC